ensembl:lncRNA
GUAAGUAAUUUGUGUUUAUUUUUGUGUUUGAGGUUGUCUGCAGGGUAGCAUCCCAGAUGGUGGGUUUGGUGGCUGGGCCUUUCAUCUGCUCAUCCCAUUGUCCGUUGUGUUUGUCUGUAUUUUCUUUUUACAUAGCAUGCCUCUAUUUUAUAUUGUUUGUGUGGAGAAACUGAGUCUGUGAGUGCCCUGUGCCAGAGCCUGUCCCUGUCCCUCGUGUCGUCGUGGUGCAGGGGUUAGAGAAGGUGUGCUGGGAAGCACAAGGUUGUUGGUUCGAUUCCAGGCUGCCCCAUGUUCCAUGUGCUGCUAUGGCUGGUUCUACACCUGCAGAAUCAAGAUGACCAAUGGAAAAACUAAAACUUCCAAGGUUCGGAAGUUCGGGUUGGUUCAAUAUGCAUUGGGCAAGAAACCCAGUGGAGACCGUGGUGCCAUGAAAGCAAACAAAAGGACGGUCCAGAGAGGUGGUCGAGCAGUUUCAGCCUCCUAUGACGGUGGAAAUUACCAGCAGUCUUUAGUGAUUUGAGUGAACGGACGGUCCAGAGAAGACAACAGGAUCCUGCCUUGGGCUCCCUGGGAGCGGCCAAGCAACUUCAGCCUCCUGUGAAAAUUGAGAGGGAAGACCCUUUCUCAGUACUGCUUUUCAUGUCAUGCUGUGUGAAAAGUCUAAUAAAAUGUUAGAAUGCCUGACUGUUGGUUAACUGCAUCUGCUGCUAAUAUGUACUGAACUAAUCAAGUUUUUAUCUGCGCUUUCCCAGUGUGUAAAAAGAUGCAUCCUUGUGAGUGUUUAAAUAUUUCUUGUUUGCUAAAGUACUGUUGUGCUACCACACAGGAUGAUUCAGAGAACACUACAUGCUCCUGCUUCAGGG